rnacentral:tRNA from 1 species
UAUAGCUCAAUGAUAGAGCACUUGCCUAGCAUGCAGAAGGCUCUGGAUUCAAUACCCAGUA